UACGUAGGGGGCGAGCGUUAUCCGGAUUCACUGGGUGUAAAGGGAGCGUAGACGGCCAAGCAAGCCAGGGGUGAAGGCCCGGGGCCCAACCCCGGGACUGCCCUUGGAACUGCAUGGCUGGAGUGCGGGAGGGGCAGGCGGAAUUCCUGGUGUAGCGGUGAAAUGCGUAGAUAUCAGGAGGAACACCGGCGGCGAAGGCGGCCUGCUGGACUGCGACUGACGUUGAGGCUCGAAAGCGUGGGGAGCGAACAGG
rnacentral:rRNA from 1 species